CAGUGAAGUCAUUACUAUGCAGCCUCACAACUGUAGCAACCCUUCUAAAGGUUGUAGAUUCUGGCUGAUGAUGUCACUGACACAAAGAAAAAAAUGCAAAACAGAUAGUCUUAAAUAAGCUUUCUGGUGAGACCAACUGCAUUUUGGCCAUGGCUCUGCAGGGCACUCUGGGGACAGUGUGGCUGGGACUUCUCCUCAACUCUCUGUGGAAUGUUGCAGAAAGCAAGGACCAAGUGUUUCAGCCUUCCACAGUGGCAUCUUCGGAGGGAGCCAUGGUGGAAAUCUUCUGUAAUCACUCUGUGUCCAAUGCUUACAACUUCUUCUGGUACCUUCACUUCCCGGGAUGUGCACCAAGACUCCUUGUUAAGGGCUCAAAGCCUUCUCAGCAGGGACGAUACAACAUGACCUAUGAACGAUUCUCUUCAUCGCUGCUCAUCCUCCAGGUGCGGGAGGCAGAUGCUGCUGUUUACUACUGUGCUGUGGAGGACACAGAGGCAGGGAACCCAUGAAGAGCUGAACAGAAACAGAGAUCACAGCCUUUGCAGGAGGCAAAACAGACGAGCAAUAACUUUUUCUUCCUUAAUUCAGUGUUACCCAAGCUUUUUCAUUUGGUAUUCUACUAGGAAAAAAAAUCAAGU